rnacentral:rRNA from 1 species
GGGAACGUACCCUUCGGUUCGGAAUAACUCAGGGAAACUUGAGCUAAUACCGGAUACGCCCUUUUGGGGAAAGGUUUACUGCCGAAGGAUCGGCCCGCGUCUGAUUAGCUUGUUGGUGGGGUAACGGCCUACCAAGGCGACGAUCAGUAGCUGGUCUGAGAGGAUGAUCAGCCACACUGGAACUGAGACACGGCCCAGACUCCUACGGGAGGCAGCAGUGGGGAAUAUUGGACAAUGGGCGCAAGCCUGAUCCAGCCAUGCCGCGUGAGUGAUGAAGGCCUUAGGGUUGUAAAGCUCUUUUGUCCGGGACGAUAAUGACGGUACCGGAAGAAUAAGCCCCGGCUAACUUCGUGCCAGCAGCCGCGGUAAUACGAAGGGGGCUAGCGUUGCUCGGAAUCACUGGGCGUAAAGGGCGCGUAGGCGGCCGAUUAAGUCGGGGGUGAAAGCCUGUGGCUCAACCACAGAAUUGCCUUCGAUACUGGUUGGCUUGAGACCGGAAGAGGACAGCGGAACUG